CGGAGGGUGCGAGCGUUAUCCGGAUUUACUGGGUUUAAAGGGUGUGUAGGCGGGCUGGUAAGUCAGGGGUGAAAUCCCGGAGCUCAACUCCGGAACUGCCUUUGAUACUACUGGUCUUGAAUAUUGUUGAGGUGGCGGAAUGUGUCAUGUAGCGGUGAAAUGCAUAGAUAUGACACAGAACACCGAUUGCGAAGGCAGCUCACUGGGCAAUGAUUGACGCUGAGGCACGAAAGCGUGGGAUCAAACAGGAUU
rnacentral:rRNA from 1 species